UAUUGCAAGUUAAAACGCUAUUUUUACCGAGGCGAAAAAUGAUUGAUUUUUUUUAACCCUCAUAUCAUUUUUCCUCUCACUUUAUUUAAUUUGCCUCCAAAAUCAUAAACAUUACAUUUAUACUUUAAAUAUUUACAUAUAAAAAAAGAAAAUUUUUUAUUGGUUGAAAGUAACACACAAGGAUUACAAUCUCUACCCUUAAUUGUUUUUAAUCCAAGGGUGGAGAUUGUGUUUUGUCCUCUCCUUUUGUCUUCUGAAACACGACAGAGAGAAGAGAAAAGAGAGAUGAGAGAUUGCAGGAGGAGGAAGAAGGGACCAGCCUGAGUUCGUCGCCAUCGUCACCGGUCUGAGUUCGUCGCCAUCGUCACGAGUCUGAGUUCGUCGCCAUCGUCACCUAUCUUUACUCAUCGUCACUUUGUUCUUCUGGAAUCCAUACUCCUCCUGAGAACGCCUCUCUCCCCUCUGCAGAGCCAAAUCCGAACCCAACCACCUGAGCUCAUGGUUCAAUCUCCUCCUCAAAACCCUCGCGUUACUCAAUCUCCUCUCAUGUUUGCUCCUCAGCCGCCGACGCAGUCGUCUCUCCACCUUAUCAGUGAGAAAGCUCGAACCUCUUUGUUGUUUACCGAUUCUCCUCCGGUCAAUUAGAAUGAAUCUUCGGAUGCUCUGACUGAUCCAUCCGGUCAAACGGUCUCUAUCUCUAUUUCCUUGUGCAGAGAAGGAGAAAAUCGUUUCUUCUUCUUCUUCUUCAGCUUAUCCGAAACAAGACAUGUUUCUUUUUCUCAAUCCUCGAGGCCAAUAUGAUUUCACCAAAACACAUCUCCAGCAAGUGCUCAAGUGGUAGAGUAAAGAGCUACCAGACAUGAACUACGCUUCAAACACUCGGAAGCGAUCUACUUUCCUUGAGAGAUGCGUCUCUAAACGGUGCUUUAGCUGUUAGCUCUGAUGGUCGUUACUUGGCGACUAGAGGAGUUGAUCACCAUGUUCAUAUAUGGGACGUUCAUACCAGAGAACAUGUCCAUGUUCAUAUAAAGUCCAAUUUUUGUUUUUUGGUUUCUUCCGUCAAGUCUCAGCUUUUUAUGAUUAUGUGUCUACAGGCCUUUACAGGUCACAAGAACACUAUUUCUUCCCUAUGAUUCAGACACGGAACCGCGGAGCUCUACUCUGGUUCAUUUGAUCGAAGUGUCAAGGAGUGCACUUACGGUUGGGAGAGAUAGAAUCAUGUAGUUACACAAGGAGAAGGCUCCCUAUGUAGCUAAGGCUAAUGAGUCGCAAGGUUGAGUAUGAGAAGACGAGAAACUCUGAGUUGCACGAGUCAUUCACAAGAAGAAGAGGAGGAGAAGAAGAAGAAAAAGCUUCGGUGUUUCCUAAGAAUGACGGCUGUGGCUGCAGUCUAAUGUUUACGGUUUAGACUUUUGGUUAAGUUUUGGUUUAGGUUUUAGUUAUUUUGUAAACAUUUUCUAUAUAUAUAAAAUUUUAAAAUAUUUUUA